rfam:Ipomoea nil DNA, scaffold: scaffold1043, cultivar: Tokyo-kokei standard.
GUACUUAGCAGUGACGAUAAAUGUUGAUCCCAGCUCAUUAUGAGGCCUUAUGUAGGCCUGGGAAUACAUUUGUUUCCAACACAUAUAUCUGAGCUUAUAU